rnacentral:rRNA from 1 species
AACGGCGGCCGUAACUAUAACGGUCCUAAGGUAGCGAAAUUCCUUGUCGGGUAAGUUCCGACCUGCACGAAUGGCGUAAUGAUGGCCAGGCUGUCUCCACCCGAGACUCAGUGAAAUUGAACUCGCUGUGAAGAUGCAGUGUACCCGCGGCAAGACGGAAAGACCCCGUGAACCUUUACUAUAGCUUGACACUGAACAUUGAGCCUUGAUGUGUAGGAUAGGUGGGAGGCUUUGAAGCGUGGACGCCAGUCUGCGUGGAGCCGACCUUGAAAUACCACCCUUUAAUGUUUGAUGUUCUAACGUGGACCCGUAAUCCGGGUUGCGGACAGUGUCUGGUGGGUAGUUUGACUGGGGCGGUCUCCUCCUAAAGAGUAACGGAGGAGCACGAAGGUUGGUUAAUCCUGGUCGGACAUCAGGAGGUUAGUGCAAUGGCAUAAGCCAGCUUGACUGCGAGCGUGACGGCGCGAGCAGGUGCGAAAGCAGGUCAUAGUGAUCCGGUGGUUCUGAAUGGAAGGGCCAUCGCUCAACGGAUAAAAGGUACUCCGGGGAUAACAGGCUGAUACCGCCCAAGAGUUCAUAUCGACGGCGGUGUUUGGCACCUCGAUGUCGGCUCAUCACAUCCUGGGGCUGAAGUAGGUCCCAAGGGUAUGGCUGUUCGCCAUUUAAAGUGGUACGCGAGCUGGGUUUAGAACGUCGUGAGACAGUUCGGUCCCUAUCUGCCGUGGGCGCUGGAGAACUGAGGGGGGCUGCUCCUAGUACGAGAGGACCGGAGUGGACGCAUCACUGGKGUUCGGGUUGUCAUGCCAAUGGCACUGCCCGGUAGCUAAAUGCGGAAGAGAUAAGUGCUGAAAGCAUCUAAGCACGAAACUUGCCCCGAGAUGAGUUCUCCCUGAGACUUAGAGUCUCCUGAAGGAACGUUGAAGACGACGACGUUGAUAGGCCGGGUGUGUAAGCGCAGCGAUGCGUUGAGCUAACCGGUACUAAUGAACCGUGAGGCUUAACCUU